AAGUCGUAACAAGGUCUCCGUUGGUGAACCAGCGGAGGGAUCAUUACAGAGUUGCAAAACUCCCACAAACCAUCGCGAAUCUUACCCGUACGGUUGCCUCGGCGCUGGCGGUCCGGAAGGCCCUCGGGCCCCCGGAUCCUCGGGUCUCCCGCUCGCGGGAGGCUGCCCGCCGGAGUGCCGAAACCCAAACUCUUGAUAUUUUAUGUCUCUCUGAGUAAACUUUUAAAUAAGUCAAAACUUUCAACAACGGAUCUCUUGGUUCUG
rnacentral:misc_RNA from 1 species